UUUUUCCUACGGGGGGCAGCAGUGGGGGAUAUUGCACAAUGGGGGGAACCCUGAUGCAGCGACGCCGCGUGGGUGAAGAAGCGCCUCGGCGCGUAAAGCCCUGUCAGCAGGGAAGAAAAUGACGGUACCUGAAGAAGAAGCCCCGGCUAACUACGUGCCAGCAGCCGCGGUAAUACGUAGGGGGCAAGCGUUGUCCGGAAUUACUGGGUGUAAAGGGAGCGUAGGCGGGAAAGCAAGUUGAAUGUUUAAGGUACGGGCUCAACCUGUACAA
rnacentral:rRNA from 1 species